UCCAAGAUUACAAAAGAGAACUGAACACUAGAAAGCUGGGGACUGACCCUACUGCCUGGAGAGGCCCAGGGGAGGCUUUAUAAGAACUGAGGCCCCACCAAAAGAAAUUUCAAAGCAAAAUCAUUCGGUUUCUAAGUCUCUACCCCACCCCACUCCCACAUUUUUAAAAGAUUUUUUUUGACAACAGAAAAUUUUAAUUCAGUAGAUUAUUCUUCUCUUCCUCCCCUCCCCUGAAACAAAUUCAAAGCCAGUAUUCUCAUGUCAUUCCCAAAACAACAUUCUAGGGGUUGGCAGGUGGGUUCCAAACGGUGAGACCCAAAGCAGGCUUUUGGCCCAGGUGGGUUAUGGGAUUGGAAGGCCCCAAGGGCACUUUUCUGCAGGGCAGUUAGCACUUAGGGCUAACAGCUUGUUUGUUUGAAGGACCCCAGAGGGUCGAUUUGGGGCCUGGAGGUUUGCUCUUACUUUUUCUUGUGUCUCCAUUUCUUUUUUUGAGGGAUGGUGUUCCAGAUUUUGUUGGGCUAUGUGAAUACUGAAUGCAGAGAGGCCAGGCUGGAACUGACCUCCCCUCUUAACAGAAUUGGGGAGCAAUCCAUGCAUGAUAAUUUGUUUCUCCUUCCAAUCCAAUUGUGUGAGGGGGAAAAAUCUAAUUAAAAAAAAAAACCCUGCAUCAUUCUAUUUGAAAAUCUGCCUAGUAAAUGAAGUCAGUCACCAUUUCCCUCUGGGGAUGCUGAUCAGUCUGUUAUUCUCGUGUCUAGAACAGGGUCUUUGAGAAAAACGACUAAUGGGGAAUUAUUCUGCCUUCCUCUAGAAAUGGUGGUGGGUUGAACGACUCUGGCAACAGGCCCCAGCCAGAAUUAAUACAAGUGAAAAAUCCCCUGUAGGCAGAGGGAGCCCUUCGACCUACAGAAAUGAAGCUUUAUUAAAGAGACAGGUUAACAGAGAAAACACAAUUUGUCAUAAUCUUUACAGAAAGUCUCCAAAACCAGAAUUAAGAGCACGACACCCAAUAUAUAGCAAGAGCAACUCGACGGCGUUUGAGUUCACUGUCUGCGCCCCAAAACUCCACUGGACUGGAGGCAUGGGUAGGCCACGGGAACACCCUGGGCCCUCUCCCUUUCCUUCUUCGUGAUCCUACCCCACACUUACUUCCCACUCGGAC
rnacentral:lncRNA from 1 species